UACAUGGGGUGCAACCGUUGCUCGGAAUUAUUGGGCGUAAAGCGCGCGUAGGCGGUUACUCAAGUCGGAUGUGAAAGCCCUCGGCUUAACUGAGGAAGUGCACCCGAAACUGAGUAGCUAGAGUACUAAAGAGGGUCGCGGAAUUCCCGGUGUAGAGGUGAAAUUCGUAGAUAUCUGGAGGAACACCGGUGGCGAAGGCGGCAUCCUGGACCAACACUGACGCUGAGGAGCGAAAGCCAGGGGAGCAAACGGG
rnacentral:rRNA from 1 species